GACGAACGCUGGCGGCGUGCUUAACACAUGCAAGUCGAACGGGCCUGUCUUCUUUUUUGGGGGUGGGUUGAGUGGCGAACGGGUGAGUAUCACGUGAGUAACCUGCCCUUCGGUCCUGGAUAACCGCUUGAAAGGGCGGCUAAUACGGGGUGGUCCGGUUGGUCCGCAUGGGCUGGUCGGGAUAGAUUCACUGUUUUUGGUGUUUCGGCGGGGGAUGGGCUCGCGGCCUAUCAGCUUGUUGGUGGGGUGAUGGCCUACCAAGGCGGUGACGGGUAGCCGGCCUGAGGGGGUGGGCGGCCACACUGGGACUGAGAUACGGCCCAGGCUACUGCGGGAGGCAGCAGUGGGGGGUAUUGCACAAUGGGCGGAAGCCUGAUGCAGCGACGUCGCGUGAGGGAGGGAGGCCUUCGGGUUGUGAACCUCUGUUUCCGGUGGUGAAGGCCCUGUCCGUGUGGUGGGGUUGACGGUAGCCGGGGAUGAAGCGCCGGCUAACUACGUG
rnacentral:rRNA from 1 species